rnacentral:tRNA from 12 species
GCCACCUUAGCUCAGUUGGCUAGAGCAGUUGAUUUGUAAUCAUCAGGUCGUCAGUUCGAAUCUGACAGGUGGCUCCA